ACGGUCAUACCAUGCUGAAUGUACCGAUUCUCGUUAGCUCACGAAGUAAAGCAUUAUUGGGCGCGGAGUCAGUACUUGGUGGUGGGUGACCACCUGGGAACACCGCAUGCCGUU